UAGUUUACGGGUGCUGAGUUAGCAAGAUUUCACAAACUGGCUGGGUAAAAAAAAAAAAAAAAAAAUUAAACCAGUCGGUGAAAUCUUGCCAACUCAGCACCUGCAAAUUA
rnacentral:miRNA from 1 species